rnacentral:rRNA from 1 species
UACGAAGGGGGCUAGCGUUGUUCGGAAUUACUGGGCGUAAAGCGCACGUAGGCGGACUUGUCAGUCAGGGGUGAAAUCCCGAGGCUCAACCUCGGAACUGCCUCCGAUACAGCAAGUCUCGAGUCCGGAAGAGGUGGGUGGAAUUCCUAGUGUAGAGGUGAAAUUCGUAGAUAUUAGGAAGAACACCAGUGGCGAAGGCGGCCCACUGGUCCGG